rnacentral:rRNA from 1 species
CCUACGGGCGGCAGCAGUGAGGAAUAUUGGUCAAUGGGCGUAAGCCUGAACCAGCCAAGUCGCGUGAGGGAUGAAGGUUCUAUGGAUCGUAAACCUCUUUUAUAAGGGAAUAAAGUGUGGGACGUGUCCUGUUUUGUAUGUACCUUAUGAAUAAGGAUCGGCUAACUCCGUGCCAGCAGCCGCGGUAAUACGGAGGAUCCGAGCGUUAUCCGGAUUUAUUGGGUUUAAAGGGUGCGUAGGCGGUCUUUUAAGUCAGCGGUGAAAGUCUGUGGCUCAACCAUAGAAUGGCCGUUGAAACUGGGAGGCUUGAGUAUGUUUGAGGCAGGCGGAAGGCGUGGUGUAGCGGUGAAAUGCUUAGAUAUCACGCAGAACCCCGAUUGCGAAGGCAGCCUGCCAAGCCAUGACUGACGCUGAUGCACGAAAGCGUGGGGAUCAAACAGGAUUAGAUACCCCAGUAGUC